rnacentral:rRNA from 1 species
AUUGAACGCUGGCGGCAGGCUUAACACAUGCAAGUCGAGCGGGGUGAUGGUGCUUGCACUAUCACUUAGCGGCGGACGGGUGAGUAAUGCUUAGGAAUCUGCCUAUUAGUGGGGGACAACAUCUCGAAAGGGAUGCUAAUACCGCAUACGUCCUACGGGAGAAAGCAGGGGAUCACUUGUGACCUUGCGCUAAUAGAUGAGCCUAAGUCGGAUUAGCUAGCUGGUGGGGUAAAGGCCUACCAAGGCGACGAUCUGUAGCGGGUCUGAGAGGAUGAUCCGCCACACUGGGACUGAGACACGGCCCAGACUCCUACGGGAGGCAGCAGUGGGGAAUAUUGGACAAUGGGGGGAACCCUGAUCCAGCCAUGCCGCGUGUGUGAAGAAGGCCUUAUGGUUGUAAAGCACUUUAAGCGAGGAGGAGGCUCUUUUGGUUAAUACCCAAGAUGAGUGGACGUUACUCGCAGAAUAAGCACCAGCUAACUCUGUGCCAGCCGCCGCAGUAA